rnacentral:rRNA from 1 species
GAUGAACGCUGGCGGCGUGCCUAAUACAUGCAAGUCGAACGAAGGGAGCAAUCUCUGAGUGGCGAACGGGUGAGUAACGCGUUGGUGACCUGCCCCGAAGUGUGGGAUAACAGGCCGAAAGGCUUGCUAAUACCGCAUAUGCAACCGGAAGACUAGAAGUCUGGUUGUAAAGGAGAAAUCCGCUUUGGGAGGGGCCUGCGACCCAUCAGCUCGUUGGUAAGGUAACGGCUUACCAAGGCGAUGACGGGUAGGGGACCUGAGAGGGUGGCCCCCCACAAUGGAACUGAAACACGGUCCAUACACCUACGGGUGGCAGCAGUAGGGAAUAUUGGUGAAUGGGCGAAAGCCUGAACCAGCAACGCCGCGUGUGCGAUGAAGGCCUUCGGGUUGUAAAGCACUUUUCACCGGGAAGAGGAAGGACGGUACCGGUGGAAUAAGCCUCGGCUAACUACGUGCCAGCAGCCGCAGUAACAC